CCAAUAGCGUAUAUUAAAGUUGUUGCAGUUAAAAAGCUCGUAGUUGAAUUUCGGGAUCAGUUGAUCGGUCGUGCCUCGGUACGUACUGGUCAAAUUGAUUCCUACCUUCUGACGAACCACGAUGUCAUUAAUUUGGUGUCGCGGGAAAUCAGGACUGUUAAUUUGAAAAAAUUAGAGUGUUUAAAGCAGGCUCGCGCUUGAAUACAUUAGCAUGGAAUAAUGAAAUAGGACGUUUGAUUCUAUUUUGUUGGUUUCUAGGAUCGACGUAAUGAUUAAUAGGGAUAGUUGGGGGCAUUAGUAUUCAAUUGUCAGAGGUGAAAUUCUUGGAUUUAUUGAAGACUAACUACUGCGAAAGCAUUUGCCAAGGAUGUUUUCAUUAAUCAAGAACGAAAGUUAGGGGAUCGAAGACGAUCAGAUACCGUCGUAGUCUUAACCAUAAACUAUGCCGACUAGGGAUCGGAUGAUGUUAAUUUUUUAAUGACUCAUUCGGCGCCUUACG
rnacentral:misc_RNA from 1 species